rnacentral:rRNA from 1 species
GUGAGGAAUAUUGGUCAAUGGGCGAGAGCCUGAACCAGCCAAGUAGCGUGAAGGAAGACUGCCCUACGGGUUGUAAACUUCUUUUGUACGGGAAUAAAGUGGGCCACGUGUGGCUUUUUGCAUGUACCGUACGAAUAAGGACCGGCUAAUUCCGUGCCAGCAGCCGCGGUAAUACGGAAGGUCCGAGCGUUAUCCGGAUUUAUUGGGUUUAAAGGGAGCGCAGGCGGAAUGUUAAGUCAGCUGUGAAAUCCCGUCGCUCAACGGCGGAACUGCAGUUGAUACUGGCUUUCUUGAGUGCACAUAAGGAUGGUGGAAUUCGUGGUGUAGCGGUGAAAUGCUUAGAUAUCACGAAGAACUCCGAUUGCGAAGGCAGCCAUCUGGGGUGCAACUGACGCUGAGGCUCGAAAGUGCGGGUAUCAAACAGG